rnacentral:tRNA from 7 species
GCCGGAGUAGCUCAAUGGUAGAGCAACGCUUUUGUAAAGCGAAGGCUGGGGGUUCAAUUCCUCUCUCCGGCUCCA